rnacentral:rRNA from 1 species
CAUCCAUGAAGAACGCAGGGAAUGCGAUUAGUAUGUGAAAUUGCAGAAUUCAGUGAUCAUCGAUCUUUGAACGCACCUUGCGCUCCUUGAUUCCGGGAGCAUCCUGUUUGAGUGCAUGAAAUCUCAACUUGCAAGCUCUUUGCGAGUUUUGUAGG